rnacentral:lncRNA from 1 species
GGCACGUAAGCUGCUGGGAAUCUCGGAGAACACUACAGCACUUAAAAUGGCAGCUCCUGUCUGUGGACACCCUUGAUGUCUAGAAGCUGACUAAGGCUAGGGUUCUGUUGCUCCUUGGCUAAGGGCACCACUUUCAGAUAAAAACAUAGACCUGAAUGGCAUCAUCCAGUAUCCAAGGAAACCAUGUACUUACACUUCAGCCAAAUCAAACAUAAGACAUUUAGAGGAAGAAAGGAGGCGAUGGUGCCAAAAUUUGGCAUUCUAGGAUGUUACAGCAGAAAAAAGAAAAUGAGAAAUAAGGAAAACACCUGCAAUGAGAAGAUACUGAAUUUGAAGGACUCAGAGGCCCUUUGGUGUGGCACAACUUCAAGAGAAGAAAGCCUCAAUCCUUGAAUUAUUGUGAAGAAGAUAUUUACACUACAGCUAUAUAAGACUGUUACACGAGAGAUAAGUAAACCUAUUUAUUAUGUCAUCAAAGUUUGAAAUAUACCUAUUCCAUUAAUUAGUGUUACCUUAAUAAGAACACAUACUUCACAGAUUAAACUUUCCUUUCUCUUUCUGUUUCUUCUGUUGCUAUCUCAGCAGUGGGAGAAAGAAUAAUUGUACCAACUGGUUGAGGAUUAACUUUGUCUUGCAAUGGCAAGUUUCAUUACCCAUCCAUGUAUAUUACCACCACAUAUCUCAAGUGUUCUUCCUUUCUGGUCUCAUUAUUAUAACUAUACUCUAGACUUCUUUUAUUUGAACUUUCAAUGCAGCAAGACCUUCUUAACUAGACUCGGAGCCCUUAUAAUGCUCCUCUUCUAAUUCUUGCCAUGUGAUAAGAAUCAUCUGUUCAGAAAACCCCUAAGGCCUGCUAACUAUCUAAAGUAGCAGUAAAUAACUAGAGGUGCUAGGAUGCCUGUGACCUCUAAACAUAUCUUGCAUUGCUGAUGAGAUGUGCUUAUUUUUUUUUAAUGUUGUUGUCACUCUUCAAAAAUUGAGAUAGUAAGCAUUUUAGAUUUCUCCUCUUGACAAAUGAAUCAUCUGGCAGAAUUAGUUCACUAUUCUCACCUGGUAGCUCUCAGCUACAACAAAGCAUGCACUCUACAAUUUGUCCUUAUCCUCACCUGUAUUAUUCAGGGUUCUUCAGCAAAACAGAAUUAAUUGGGUGCAUUCAUAUAUACUUCAUGCAUGCAUGUGUGUCUGUUCAUGUGUGUAUGUGUGUGUGCACAUGGGGGAAGGAGGGAGAGAGGUACAGGGAGAGAGAUAGAUGAAGAGAGAGAGAGAGCAAGAGGAAGGAGGGAAAGACAAACAGGGAGAGAGAAAGAUGAAGAGAAAGAGAGAGGCUAUAUGAAAUUGGUUUAUGCAGUUAGAGGCUGACAAAUUCCAAAUACGCAGUCAGGAAGCUGGAAAAUCAGGAGGUCCUAUGGUGUAAGUUACAGUGUAGAAGUCAACAGGCAAAAAUGUCAACUGUAUGAAUAAAAGUAUACUGAUUAAGCUAUAAUAAUCA